rnacentral:lncRNA from 1 species
UUGAGGAGAUGAAUACUUAUCCAGUGAGUUUGUGACAUAUCUAGGAGAGAAUUGAAUUUUCUCUCAGUGGAUUUCUUUUCGGAACACAGUGUAUCCGAAAGGAGAAGUUGAACUUUGUUAGAUAUGGUUCAAUCCACGAUAGGGUUCACUUCUCUGCCUGUUUCAGGAUUGUGCUCUUGUGUGACUACCUGUUUUACUCUAAAAAUAUACUGAGUAAGUCUGUUGUGU